rnacentral:rRNA from 1 species
AGAGUUUGAUCCUGGCUCAGGAUGAAUGCUGGCGGCGUGCUUAACACAUGCAAGUCGAACGGGAAUUACUUUAUUGAAACUUCGGUCGAUUUAAUUUAAUUCUAGUGGCGGACGGGUGAGUAACGCGUGGGUAACCUGCCUUAUACAGGGGGAUAACAGUCAGAAAUGGCUGCUAAUACCGCAUAAGCGCACAGAGCUGCAUGGCUCAGUGUGAAAAACUCCGGUGGUAUAAGAUGGACCCGCGUUGGAUUAGCUUGUUGGCGGGGUAACGGCCCACCAAGGCGACGAUCCAUAGCCGGCCUGAGAGGGUGAACGGCCACAUUGGGACUGAGACACGGCCCAGACUCCUACGGGAGGCAGCAGUGGGGAAUAUUGCACAAUGGGGGAAACCCUGAUGCAGCGACGCCGCGUGAAGGAAGAAGUAUCUCGGUAUGUAAACUUCUAUCAGCAGGGAAGAUAGUGACGGUACCUGACUAAGAAGCCCCGGCUAACUACGUGCCAGCAGCCGCGGUAAUACGUAGGGGGCAAGCGUUAUCCGGAUUUACUGGGUGUAAAGGGAGCGUAGACGGUGUGGCAAGUCUGAUGUGAAAGGCAUGGGCUCAACCUGUGGACUGCAUUGGAAACUGUCAUACUUGAGUGCCGGAGGGGUAAGCGGAAUUCCUAGUGUAGCGGUGAAAUGCGUAGAUAUUAGGAGGAACACCAGUGGCGAAGGCGGCUUACUGGACGGUAACUGACGUUGAGGCUCGAAAGCGUGGGGAGCAAGCAGGAUUAGAUACCCUGGUAGUCCACGCCGUAAACGAUG